rnacentral:misc_RNA from 1 species
UUUGCAGUGGGGGUUUCGCUGCUUCACCAAGCUAUCCGAGUCUCAGACCCAACUUUGCAAGCAUCGGGAACUCUAUAAAAUAUUUGGUCUAUUGAAUUUUAGCUGGAGACAACGAAACAUGGCCUGCUCAGAUAAAACUCUCCGAGUCUUCUGCGUCGGCACCGCUGAUACCAAGCUCGACGAACUCCGAUUUCUAUCUGACUCCGUCAGUUCCAGUCUCACCUCUUUGUCCAACAACUCUUCUUCCAAGGUGGAGGUUGUGAUUGUUGAUGUUUCCGUGGGUCAGAAAGAGAUUAAUGGUAUUGGGGAAUUUUCUUUUGUAUCAAGAAAGGAUGUUCUUGCUUGCUUAAAGGUUUCAGUUGAACAAAACCAUAAUAUGCUUCCAGAUGAUAGGGCCCAAGCUGUGGCUAUAAUGAGUAAAGCACUUGAACAUUUCAUGAAGAACGCUCAGGAGACUAAUGUCGUUGCG